AAAUGCGAUAAGUAAUGUGAAUAGCAGAAUUCAGUGAAUCAUCGAAUCUUUGAACGCACCUUGCGCUCCUUGGUAUUCCUUGGAGCAUGCCUGUUUGAGUAUCAUGAAAUCUUCAAAGUAAAUCUUUUGUUAACUCAAUUGGUUUCUACUUUGGUAUUGGAGGUCUUUGCAGCUUCACACCUGCUCCUCUUUGUUCAUUAGCUGGAUCUCAGUGUUAUGCUUGGUUCCACUCGGCGUGAUAAGUUAUCUAUCGCUGAGGACACUGUAAAAGGUGGCCAAGGUAAAUGCAGAUGAACCGCUUCUAAUAGUCCAUUGACUUGGACAAUACUUUUAUGAUCUGAUCUCAAAUCAGGUAGGACUACCCGCUGAACUUAAGC
rnacentral:misc_RNA from 1 species